rnacentral:rRNA from 1 species
UACAGAGGGUGCGAGCGUUGUUCGGAAUUACUGGGCGUAAAGCGCACGUAGGCGGAUUUGUAAGUCAGGGGUGAAAUCCCGGGGCUCAACCUCGGAACUGCCUUUGAUACUGCAAAUCUCGAGUCCGGAAGAGGUGAGUGGAAUUCCUAGUGUAGAGGUGAAAUUCGUAGAUAUUAGGAAGAACACCAGUGGCGAAGGCGGCUCACUGGACCGGUACUGACGCUGAGGCGCGAAAGCGUGGGGAGCAAACAGG